UUGGCCUACGGGGGGCAGCAGUGAGGAAUAUUGGACAAUGGACGAAAGUCUGAUCCAGCCAUGCCGCGUGCGGGAUGACUGCCCUAUGGGUUGUAAACUGCUUUUAUAUAGGAAGAAACACUCCCACGUGUGGGGGCUUGACGGUACUAUAUGAAUAAGGAUCGGCUAACUCCGUGCCAGCAGCCGCGGUAAUACGGAGGAUCCAAGCGUUAUCCGGAAUCAUUGGGUUUAAAGGGUCCGCAGGCGGCCUGUUAAGUCAGAGGUGAAAGCCAACAGCUCAACUGUUGAACUGCCUUUGAUACUGAUAGGCUUGAGUUAUUGUGAAGUGGUUAGAAUGUGUGGUGUAGCGGUGAAAUGCUUAGAUAUCACACAGAAUACCCAUUGCGAAGGCAGAUCACUAACAAUAUACUGACGCUCAUGGACGAAAGCGUGGGGAGCGAACGGGAUUAGAUACCCCGGUAGUCCACGCCGUAAACGAUGGAUACUAACUGUUCGACCUUAGGGUUGAGUGGUCAAGCGAAAGUGAUAAGUAUCCCACCUGGGGAGUACGC
rnacentral:rRNA from 1 species